AUGUAUAUGUGCUGCCAGCACUCAAAGACACUGAACUCUCAGCUUGAGGCAGAACUCAGCACAUUUGUUCAGGGAAAUCCAUGCCUCAUGCCGCUCUCCAGUCUGCUCUGGGUGUUCCUGGCCUUCACCUUCUCUGGAUCUGGUGUGGCCCAGAAAGUUACUCAAGACCAGCCAGAUGUAUCCAGCCAAGUGGGGCAGUCAGUCACCCUGAAUUGUCGGUAUGAAACAAGUUGGACCACUUACUACCUUUAUUGGUACAAGCAACCUCCCAGUGGACAAAUGACUUACGUUAUUCAUCAGGAUUCAUUAGUCUCAAAUGCAAGGAAAGACCGCUACUCUGUAAACUUUAAGAAAGCAGACAAAUCCACCAGCCUCACCAUUUCAGCCUUACAACCGGAAGACUCUGCAAAGUACUUCUGUGCUCUUUCUGAACUCACAGUGCUUGAAGUAAUAGGAAAAGCUGUACAAAAACCCCGGAGCUUAAUUGAAGUAGAGCUGACACACAGCGUUGUGUCAGUGUCAGGUGCACAGCAGAGUCACCGUCCUGUGCACGAGUGUAGUGUGUGA